rnacentral:lncRNA from 1 species
UUGCUUUGAUUUUAUCUAUGAGACCUGUGUUAUGGGAUUGUUUUUGCCAGGGUGGUUAUUGCCUUCUUUUUCAAUAGGGAUCUGGGUAAGACAAUGGAGAGAUAUGGUGGCUGAGCAUUUUUGGUUUCGUCGAGGUGAGGUUUCUUCCAAAGGUUGCAGCUGUGUCGUGGUUCUCCCUAUUUGAUUACAGUGGUGUCGUGAGCUCUUAGCAAGGAUGAUACAAUCUGGAAGUUUUUUCUUGGUAGCAGGGUCGCAAAUCUAAUUCUACGCCGUCUUUAGGAUAUGUUCUCUCCGCUGGAUUUAGAUUCCUAGUGUUGUUUUCGAUGGCUAGGGGUACGGAAAUUGCUGUUUUAAGGACUAUGGUGUUUGUAUCAUGCGUUUUCCUCCUUAUCCUGAGCAGUUCCUCUUAUAUAAA